CCCCAUCUGACCCCCCCCCGUGCCCCCCCAGGACCCCCUGGGGUUUGGGGACCCCCAGCAGGACGGGCCGGGGGAGGCGCAGGGGAGGGCUGAGCCCCCCCCUCUGGAGCCACCUGCCCACCAGUGCCCCCCCCAAGCCGCUGGCCCCGGGGCAGCCCUGGCUCGAGCCCCUCCCCCCGUUUGAGGACGCCGCCAGCCCCGAGCCCAGCCCCUCGGACAGCGGCGUGGAGCUGGGGGGG